UACGUAGGGGGCAAGCGUUAAUCGGAAUUACUGGGCGUAAAGCGUGCGCAGGCGGCGCGUUAAGACAGGUGUGAAAGCCCCGAGCUUAACUUGGGAAUUGCGCUUGUGACUGGCGUGCUGGAGUGUGGCAGAGGGAGGUGGAAUUCCACGUGUAGCAGUGAAAUGCGUAGAGAUGUGGAGGAACACCGAUGGCGAAGGCAGCCUCCUGGGCCAGCACUGACGCUCAUGCACGAAAGCGUGGGGAGCAAACAGG
rnacentral:rRNA from 1 species